rnacentral:snRNA from 1 species
UGGAGGCCAUAUUACGCUUU